GCGGAUAUGGUGGAAUUGGUAGACACGCUGUCUUGAGGGGGCAGUGCCGCAAGGCGUGUGAGUUCGAGUCUCACUAUCCGCA
rnacentral:tRNA from 1 species